UCCGCUUGCGGUAAAACUGUUUGCCACUUCUGGUGUCACACAAACAUUUCUAGUGUUGUGCCAAGGACUGACAAUCCUAGGUAGUGAUACUAAGAAUAGUCAACAAGCAUUUCUGGCGCCGUUGCCAGGGAAUGGUAGCUGAUCUAACUUAGAACCAAGUCGUCCGAGUUAUCGUUCUUUUACCUUUUUUUUCUUUUUAUCCUUUCCACUGCAUGUUUGCUUAAUAUUGCAUAAAUCUAGUGCUUUCUUGGGUAGCUCCUAGUCUUUGAGUUGUAUUUGGGCAUCAUGCCUAGUCUAGAUAGACAAUAAUUUUAUUGUUGUAUACCUAUUCAAGCUCCUAGUCUAGCUUGUGGUAGUCAAAUGUUAAACGGGAACAUCCCGGCUCAUAUAUCGGCUUUAAUAUUCAGUAUGAUGAUGUCCUUUGGAUGGGCCAUGCCACAGGAAAAAGUUAAAGCCUAGAUGUUCAUGCAUAUCACUCAUUUAUUUUUUUAAUCUUUAUUUUAACCAUAACAUAUUUUUUUAAUGCAUUCAUCCUCCACUUUGCAUUGCCUUGCGUAUAAAAAUUAAAAAAUAAUAAUAAAAGAAAAAAAAUUUGCCUCUUGUCUUCAUCACUCAUUAUCUAGUCUCUUGUAUAAUGAAUCUUGUUUAUCCUAUCAUGCUCUCACUUUGUAUGUUAGUAUGCUUUGGUUUGGUUAUACUAAUCGCUCGAGUGAGUACCUCCAUAGUCUUUUUAAAUUAAGCAUGGUGCUUAGGUUAAAUAGUGUUGACACCAUUUUUGGACACGUAUCUGAGAAUUGAUGAAAUAUAGAUCGGUAGGUGAAAGAGUGGUGACUGGUUAUCGAGGGAGUUCUCGAUGGGGAUUGAUGCCGAUGGCUAAAAAGCAGAAUGUGGCCAAGUCCGGGGAUGGUGAUUAAUCUAUGCCGAUGCUGAUGGUUGCUGAUGGCUAUGAAAGGUGAUUCGCCGAUGAUCACAAAAGGAGGCGCAGGAAUUGUCGAUCGAAUGGUCAUGG
rnacentral:lncRNA from 1 species